rnacentral:rRNA from 1 species
UACAGAGGUCUCAAGCGUUGUUCGGAUUCAUUGGGCGUAAAGGGUGUGUAGGUGGCGCCGUAAGUCGGGUGUGAAAUUUCGGAGCUUAACUCCGAAACUGCAUUCGAUACUGCCGUGCUUGAGGACUGGAGAGGAGACUGGAAUUUACGGUGUAGCAGUGAAAUGCGUAGAGAUCGUAAGGAAGACCAGUGGCGAAGGCGGGUCUCUGGACAGUUCCUGACACUGAGGCAACGAAGGCCCAGGGGAGCAAACGGG